GAUGAACGCUGGCGGCGUGCCUAAUACAUGCAAGUCGAGCGAACAGAUGAGGAGCUUGCUCCUCUGACGUUAGCGGCGGACGGGUGAGUAACACGUGGAUAACCUACCUAUAAGACUGGGAUAACUUCGGGAAACCGGAGCUAAUACCGGAUAAUAUAUUGAACCGCAUGGUUCAAUAGUGAAAGACGGUUUUGCUGUCACUUAUAGAUGGAUCCGCGCCGCAUUAGCUAGUUGGUAAGGUAACGGCUUACCAAGGCAACGAUGCGUAGCCGACCUGAGAGGGUGAUCGGCCACACUGGAACUGAGACACGGUCCAGACUCCUACGGGAGGCAGCAGUAGGGAAUCUUCCGCAAUGGGCGAAAGCCUGACGGAGCAACGCCGCGUGAGUGAUGAAGGUCUUCGGAUCGUAAAACUCUGUUAUUAGGGAAGAACAAAUGUGUAAGUAACUAUGCACGACUUGACGGUACCUAAUCAGAAAGCCACGGCUAACUACGUG
rnacentral:rRNA from 1 species